AGUGAACGCUGGCGGUAGGCCUAACACAUGCAAGUCGAACGGCAGCACAGUAAGAGCUUGCUCUUACGGGUGGCGAGUGGCGGACGGGUGAGGAAUACAUCGGAAUCUACUUUUUCGUGGGGGAUAACGUAGGGAAACUUACUCUAAUACCGCAUACGACCUACGGGUGAAAGCAGGGGAUCUUCGGACCUUGCGCGAUUGAAUGAGCCGCUGUCGGAUUAGCUAGUUGGCGGGGUAAAGGCCCACCAAGGCGCCGAUCCGUAGCUGGUCUGAGUGGAUGGUCGGCCACCUGGGAACUGAGACACGGACCAGACUCCUACGGGACGGAGCAGUGGGGAAUAUGAGACAAUGGGGGCAAGCAUGAUCCAGCCAUACCGAGUGUGUUAAGGAGGCCCUGGGUGUGUGAAGACCGUCUGUGGGGAAAGAAAAGCAGCCGGUUAAUACCCCGCUGGUCUGACGGUAACCAAAGAAUAAGCACCGGCUAACUUCGUG
rnacentral:rRNA from 1 species